rnacentral:tRNA from 2 species
GCCGAGGUAGCUCAGUUGGUAGAGCACUGCCCUGAAAAGGCAGGUGUCCCCGGUCCGAGUCCGGGCUUCGGCACCA